rnacentral:rRNA from 1 species
GGGUCAGUAGGUUGGUCAUGCCACUGGUAUGUACUGGUCUCACUGAUUCCUCCUUCCUGAUGAACCUCAAUGCCAUUAAUUUGGUGUUGCAGGGAAUCUGGACUGUUACUUUGAAAAAAUUAGAGUGUUUAAAGCAGGCUUUCGCUUGAAUACAUUAGCAUGGAAUAAUGAAAUAGGACGUUUGAUUCUAUUUUGUUGGUUUCUAGGAUUGACGUA